rnacentral:rRNA from 2 species
AGAGUUUGAUCCUGGCUCAGGACGAACGCUGGCGGCGUGCCUAAUACAUGCAAGUCGAACGAAACUUUCUUACACCGAAUGCUUGCAUUCACCGUAAGAAGUUGAGUGGCGGACGGGUGAGUAACACGUGGGUAACCUGCCUAAAAGAAGGGGAUAACACUUGGAAACAGGUGCUAAUACCGUAUAUCUCUAAGGAUCGCAUGAUCCUUAGAUGAAAGAUGGUUCUGCUAUCGCUUUUAGAUGGACCCGCGGCGUAUUAACUAGUUGGUGGGGUAACGGCCUACCAAGGUGAUGAUACGUAGCCGAACUGAGAGGUUGAUCGGCCACAUUGGGACUGAGACACGGCCCAAACUCCUACGGGAGGCAGCAGUAGGGAAUCUUCCACAAUGGACGCAAGUCUGAUGGAGCAACGCCGCGUGAGUGAAGAAGGUCUUCGGAUCGUAAAACUCUGUUGUUAGAGAAGAACACGAGUGAGGAGGUAAACUGUUCCUUCGAUG